CCUACGGGGGGCAGCAGUGGGGAAUAUUGCGCAAUGGGCGAAAGCCUGACGCAGCGACGCCGCGUGAGGGAUGAAGGUCUUCGGAUCGUAAACCUCUGUCAGCAGGGAAGAACGGUCACGGUGCUAAUCAGCAGUGAAUUGACGGUACCUGCAAAGGAAGCAACGGCUAACUCCGUGCCAGCAGCCGCGGUAAUACGGAGGGUGCGAGCGUUAAUCGGAUUUACUGGGCGUAAAGCGCGCGUAGGCGGUAUGUCAAGUCAAGGGUGAAAUCCCCGGGCUCAACGUGGGAACUGCCUUUGAAACUGGCAGACUGGAGUGGAUGAGAGGAUAGUGGAAUUCCAGGUGUAGGAGUGAAAUCCGUAGAUAUCUGGAGGAACAUCAGUGGCGAAGGCGACUAUCUGGCACAUAACUGACGCUGAGGAGCGAAAGCGUGGGUAGCAAACAGGAUUAGAUACCCCAGUAGUC
rnacentral:rRNA from 1 species